GUUUAUUAGGGAGCGCCCCCAUGGGCAACACCUGUAGGUUGUGAAGGCACUAUGAUUGGGCAGAAGGAGGAGUUGGACUACGAGGCAUUUGCAACAAAAGCCUCAGUUGACCCCACUGGGAACUCUGGAGCAGGACAAAUCUUCGCAACUCCGUCUCUUGAGGUUUUUGGCUGCUUGCCUUCAAACUGCAAACUGGAAUACUUCAUCCUUUAAAAGCUUAAUAACCCGAAAACCCACCAGGAACCUAGAAUACCCGUAGUUCUCAGCCUAAAAGCUUGAGGAUGGAUAGAACAGAAAUCUAAUGUGCUUGACCUUCUCACCUCCUGCUUCUGGUCCGUGCCUCCCAUUACACCCACUCAAAGCCUCAGUGAGGCCCAAACCAUGGAAGACUUCUGCUGACAGAUGUCUCCAGAAUAGCUACUGUUCAUCUCACAGGCAAUUGAGCCCUCUAGGUCAGAGGUCCUCAAAGUGUGACUACAGUCCCCAUAAUGAGACUACCAGCAUCAGUAUCACCACCACCUGGGAACUUAUUAGAACUGAAAUUCUUGGGUCCCACUCCAGACCUCCUUAAUCAGAAACUCGGGGGGUAGAAUCCAGCAAUCUGUGUUUGAACAAGCCCUCCAGGUGAUCUGGAUGCUUGCUAAAGUUUGAGAACCACUGGUCUGGGUAAUUGAACCAACGGCAUUUGGCUGUAAUCCAUGGAGAAAUUUAUAGCACUAGGGCAAUCACUAACCUCAGUCUUGGGAAUUACGGGAGUUGGUAAACUCAUUUCAAAGGAACAAUAUUCACCUUUGAAGGUACUUGGAUGGCUGGCUGUGUGCAUUUGGAAAUAUACAGUGUUCUCCUCCCAUGGGGCUCAAGGAAGCUAAAGAAAAUCAGAGGAUUCUAAAUGCCAUUGUCCUCAUCCUAUCGCCUCCCUGCUUGCUCAGCUCCAACCCCACCUGUCUUUCUCACGUUGAACUAGCUUUAAGGAGAAGAGACACAAUUGCCAGCAGGUGAAAGGUAUCUGGGGAUCACUCGAGUUUCAACUGAUCGAGGCUGGGCUCAGCUUACCUUGGCUCCUGGUAGUGAGUUGGGUCCAGAUCUUCUCUACAUGUCUUCAUCACCUUUGAAUAAGCAAAUACUCAAGGCAUGAUCUUCUCAUAGUGGAAAGGCAAGAGCAAAAGAGAAGAGGAGUAAAAGAAACAUGUGAUGUCUGUUAAGACUCUGGCUAAGAACUGUAAAAUGUCAUUUUCACCAACAUUCCAAUGCCCCAAAUCAGUCAUAUGGUCAAGCCAUUUUUUUUUUUUUCACUGAGGAAGAUUUUCCCUGAAAUAACAUCUGUUGCCAAUCUUCCUCUGUUUUGUAUGUGGGCGACCUCCACAGCAUGGCCACUGAUGAGUGGUGUAGGUCUGUGGCUGGGAACUGAACCCAGGCCACCAAAGUGGACCACGCUGAAUUUAACCACUAGGCCACUGGCACUGGUCCAAGGCUAACAUUUUCGAGAUGGGGAAGCGCACUCCUCCCUUGAAGGUUGAAAAGAAGAGUGAAUAUUUGCUCAUUAAUAACCUAAUUUUUCAUAGUCUGCAAAUUACUAUUUUCAAUACUGCUCUAUCAGCAUCCUACUACUCAAAUUUUGAUGAGAGAGUUCCCUUGCUUUGCUGCUCUUGUCAAACAAAUGAAUAAAUAUAUUCAAUACAGUAUUGUUUUUGUUUUGUGAGGAAGAUUUUCCCUGAGCUAACAUCUGUUACCAAUCCUCUUCUACAUUUUUUUUUUUUUUUUUAGGAAGAUUAGCCUGGAGCUAACAUGUGCUGCCAAUCCUCCUCUUUUUGCUAAGGAAGACUGGCCCUGAGCUAACAUCUGUGCCCAUCUUCCUCCAGUGUAUAUGUGGGAAGCCUGCCACAGCAUGGCUUGCCAGGUGGUGCCAUGUCCGUGCACCUGGGAUCCGAACUGGUGAACCCCGUGCUGCCGAGAAGUAGAAUGUGCACACUUAACCACUGCACCACUGGGCUGGACCUCUUUUUUUCUUUUUGUUUGAGGAAGAUUAGCCCUGAGCUAACAUCUGUGCCAAUCUUCCUCUGCUUUCUAUGUGGGAUGCCUCCCCAGCAUGGUUUAUGAGUGGAGUAGGUCUGCACCUGGGAUCAGAACUCGCAAACCUUGGGCCACCAAAGCAGAGCAUGUAGAACUUUAACCACUUGGUCACAGGGCCAGCCCCACAAUAUAGUUUUAAUUCAUUGAUAAUGCAAGUAAUCACUUUGCUCAUUUCAUUUGCGAUGCAUCAAUAUAUAUGUGACCACCAAAAUGUCACAGUUAUCAGUGACCCAGGAAAGCAAAACUGAGUCAUGUGUAUAGUAAACACAGAACUAGUGUUUUGGAAUCACAGAACACUAAAUAUCUUUUAAUGAAGAGCUUAUAUCAAUGAAUACUAGAAAGGAGGAAACUGGAGAACAGAGUUUAAGCCAUGAUCCAAGUUCCCCAGCUAAUUAAUGGCAUAGCCAUGACCCAACUUAUUAUCCUUCCCACUGUACUUCCAUGGUAUUUAUGAAUCUAGCAACUUUUCAUUUAGUUUGCACACAUGCAUGUGCACACACGAACGAUGUUAGAAGGAAAUAAAGGCAGAACUGCUUCUGCAUUGAAGUGACAUUUAUCGGGAUAAUAUACCUUCUAUGACUAACCUUUGGAUUCUGCAUCAGUUUGACUUAAAUGGGAACAUAGAUGGAAGAGUUUGGGAAAUGAAAAUUGAAAUAUCAUCUGUAUGACAGAUAAUACUGAUUGGGGAAUGUAGCUUAGGUCUGAGGGACAAAGGAGCUUUCUAAAGCUUUCUCCUUCCCUAAUUUGGAUGAUUAGCCCCAAUCUAGCUUUGGGACAGCCUACAUGAAGAAAGAUGUGAACUCUGCAGGGCAGAUUCUGAAUCACUCUCCUUCAAUGGUCCAGGGAAGAGAGGGAAGAAAAGAGACUGAAUCUUCAGUGCUCACUGCCUUACAAGAAACUA
rnacentral:lncRNA from 1 species